UCAAAAACUUAUAUAAUUUGCGAGGAUUUUAACACCCGCUAUCCAUUCUAAAAAAAAUACUGCUCCAAAUAAUAUAAUUUGCGGGGGGUUUAACCCCCGCUAUCCAUAAAAAAAAAUACCGCUAACACAAAGUAUAUUUCCCCCUUUUUUUCCCCCAAAAACAUUUGUCUCUCUCAUUUUUUUCAAAAAUAUUUCUCUCAUUUUCCCAAAAUAUUUCGCGUCUGCCAUUGCUACUAGGAGGUACGCCAAUCGUUAUACACAGUGGGAGAUCUCCGUCCAUUUUCUUUCCAGCUCCGAUCAACUGCUAAGGUCUCCAUUAGCUUUUUGUAGAUGUAAAACUAGCUUGCUUUAGCUUUAUCUAUUGUUAAUCGUCUGGUUAUUAAUGAAAAUUUCUAGUUUACGUUAUUGAUUUUGCUUAAUUUCCAGUUUUUCUUCGUUGAUUUUGCUCGAUUUUCCUGUUUUCUUCAUCGACUUUGCCUCAUUUUUCUUUUUUCUUUAUCAAUUUUGCUUGAUUUUCAGUGUUUCUUCAUUAUUUAGAAUGAGUUUUCUCUUUGUCCAAUUUAAGAAAUUUCAUAUCAAUUAUGCCCUAAUUUAAGUUUAGCUCAUAGAAAAAAUAAUAGAAAAUCAGCUAUAUGUUCAAAGAAGUCCAUUUUUUCAAUUAAAACGAAGAAGAUGAAGAAUUUCAUGACUUUGUUUUCUUAUAGAGAAUGCCAUGAGUUUGAACUGGCCAGGAAAGUAACAAGAUGAGUGAAUGAAAGUGCUGUUAGAAAUAAGAAAUUGUAUUUUCCAAGAUAUCAAAUCUAGUGAAUAGAAGAAUUAUAAAAAUAGAUUGUGGAUUUCUUGUUUCUGUGGGUUGCUUCUUAAUCUAUGAGGUUAAGACAAAGGGGUUGCUGCAUUGGUAUUUGGUUGUGAAUUAACCAGUGCCUUUUUAUUUUCUGCAAGGACGAUAGUAAAGAGGCAGUUGCACAACAAUUUCGCUGGUUUAUUUUUUGGAUUGUCAUUUACUAGGUCCAAUCCCGCGUUUGUGCAAUCUAUAUGGUUAAAUUAGAUUUGACUCAAGAGUUGUAUUUAGGUAAAGGGGUAAAUAGGUGUUGUACGUGUUAUGAAUUGCUUUUGUAUCUACUAAGUGGCCUUUUGUUCUAUGUAUGUGAGGUAUCAAUUAAUGUCAAGGGUGUGUAUUAUGCAUAUAUAGCUCAUGAUAUGUGUAGGCAGCAACCUGUAUUUUUUGAAUCCUUGUGCAAGGAAUUACCAAAAAUGUUGUGUCAACAAAUAUGUGAAGGAUUGAUCGAGUAACACGAAGUUAUGCAACACCAGGGUGAUGUAAUACAUUAGUAACAUUGCAUUCUCUUGCGCACUGUUUCGGCAUCUUGCUCCAUACACAACCUACUUAGACUAAUCGAAGAUAUGCUAGGCUUCUAUAUUUCAUUAAGAAGCCGUUUGGCCAUAGAAAUUAUCCAUUUUUUAUUUUUUUUUCACUUUAUAGAAUUUGUGGUGUUUGGCCAUAGAUAUUCCAAAAACAAUUCCAAAAUUGUUUUCUGAAAAGUAAAAACAACUUUUUGUUGUUUUUCACUUUUUUUCCAAUUCCAAUUCCAACUUUUAUUAUUAUUACUACAUAUAACCCCAUUUUUUUUUAAUAUUACACAAAGCCCUUAUUGCACAAAUCCACAACCAACAAUCAUAAACAAAUGCCAACUACUAUUUGUAUUUUUCUUUCACUAUAAUAUUACACAAAGCUUAUUAACUGCACUAGAUCAGAAUAACUUGAGAGUUUUGCAAAUUCAAUUUGGAACACAUAUCCGCAGUCCUAUAUCACUUAAACAGUGCAAAAAAUAUUAUAUUCAGUACUUAUUUGCUAACUUUUCUUUAUGUGUUGCAAUGAGCAAUCAAAAUAUCAAAAGUAGUUGCAUAGCACUAAGAUUAGCAAUAUAAAUUACAACUUUCACCUCUUGUGAUAAGUAUAUGGUCAAUAAGUUGCCCAGGCAAGCACUUCAUGAUUCAGAACUAAUUAUGCAGACUAAUAAUAAAUGCAACUUUACGGGGGCAAGUAAAUUGUUUGUGUUGUAUUUGCCCUGAGCAACCAAUAUUUUUUCAUCAGAAUAUAUUGUGGAAUGCAUUUUGUGAACCAAAGCCAAAAUCGUCAGAAUAUUUUUUCGUCAGGUGAUUUCUUGAGACAUUAAAGCCACUUAAAUCAGUAGAUAAAUUAGUUGGGCAAGUUUGAUAGUUUUUAAAGGUUUAGGACAUAAAAUUAAAUUUAAAAAGGACUUUUCAAAAGUCUAAAAACAUCUUUCAAAAACACAUGGCCAAACACAACUCUAACUCCAACUCCAACUUUAACUCCAACUUCAAUUUUUUUUAGUUUUUAUGGCCAAACGCUUACUAAAUGUAUUCUCCUUAAAAUUGCAAUUCCUUUCAAGGAUUUCCAUGACUCUUUCAAAGUCGGGAUUAGGAAUUAUGAUGUGGGUCUUGAAAUCGAAUUGAAUAAUACAAUAAAGUACCUUCGUUUUGUAGUUUAAUAGCCCACGUACAAUGCAAAUGCCAAGAAAGUCUACCACAACAACAUACCCAGUAUAUUCUCACCAAGUGGGUCUGGAGAGGGUAAGUCUACCAACCACACACUGUGUUUCAUGGUUUGUAUUAGUCACUUGUUUAAUUUGUUGCUGCAAGGAUCUGAAACCAUAUAAUCUUCUGAUGGAUCGGAAGACGAAUGUGCUCAAAUUAGCUGAUUUUGGACUUGUUACGGCUUAUAUUGUGCCCAUCAAGAAGUACACGCAUGAGAUAUUAACCCUGUAGUAUAGAGCCCCUGAGGUUCUUCUUGGAGCUACUCAUUACUGCAGACUAGUUGGCAUGUGGUCUGUUGGUUGUAUAUUUGUUUCAACCUCAGCUGAACUAGUGACAAACCAAGCCCUCUUCCCUGGAGACUCUGAGCUGCAAUAACUGUUUCACAUUUUCAGGUUGCUAGGUAAUCCUAAUGAACGAUUCUGGCCUGGGGUAAGCAAAUUAGUUAACUGACACAAAUACCCCCAAUGGAAACCACAACCACUCUCGACUGUUGUACCUAGUCUAGCUGAAGAUGGGAUUAACCUUCUACAGGUAGUUUUUUUUAUGUAAAAACUGAUGGUUGUCUGAUUUGAUUAGCCUGUUAGAAUGAGAUGAUUUAUGAUUUGGAUUACCAUUUACUAUGCCUAAUCCUGCGUUUGUGCAAUCUAAUCUCUGUGUUUUAAAAAGAAUGCAAUACACACUUUAUUCAUAAUUAUUUGGCAAGUGUUAGCUCAAUAGUAAAUUCUUUUCCAAUAAGAAUUGAUAAACCUGUCAUUUCCAGAACACCAGAUGCACUUCUAUCAAUUUUUGUUCCAAUUUUAGUGGUCAAAUUAUAUGCACUUACUUUGCUCACCCCUUUUUUCAAUCUAAGAAAGUGACUUCGUGUAUUGUGCAAUUCUUAUUCAAAGCAAACUCUUCAUUCAUAACCUUUGAUCUGAGAUAUAACUUGUUAUUCACAACAUUAGUGUGAAAUUUCACAAGGCUUCAUUUUCCUCCCUCUCCUCCCAUUUCAACGUCUUCGCCAUCGUCCAUGAAGACUUCUCCUAAACUAUUUCCCAUGCUGUUGAUGGUAACAAGUAGUUCAAAUGGAGUUUUCCUUGCUGUUCUUGUCCUUCCACUGCCACUAUAUUUUCCUCUCGGAGGUGCACAUUGAUAUGAUCAUGAGGCGCAUCUAGGUUGAUGUAGCUACCAGAUUUCAUAUUUACGUAGUUUGAAUAAUUGAAGAGAUUGAACCAGGUACCGAAUGGAAAAUAUGCAUUAACUGAAACCGCAC